UACGGAGGGUGCGAGCGUUGUCCGGAAUCACUGGGCGUAAAGGGCGCGUAGGCGGCAGGGAAAGUCGGCGGUGAAAGCCCGGAGCUCAACUCCGGGUCGGCCGUUGAUACUUCUUUGCUCGAGCACUGUAGAGGCAGAUGGAAUUCCGGGUGUAGCGGUGGAAUGCGUAGAGAUCCGGAAGAACACCGGUGGCGAAGGCGGUCUGCUGGGCAGUUGCUGACGCUGAUGCGCGACAGCGUGGGGAGCAAACAGG
rnacentral:rRNA from 2 species